UUCCCAAUCCUUGGACCUUCUCCACUAGUGAGGGUCGGUUGGGCCAUCUUUAUAUAGAUCUCUGAGGAGGAAACCAGGAAACAACUCCCGUUCCAAGGUCCACCUUGUGAGGAACAUCAUAGAUCUGCCCUUGACCAGGGCAGAACGUAUUGGGUACGCCGUGCCUCGUCCCUGCUUAGUGGUCCUUGACUUUCCUUUCCAGGUCUUUCAACCUUAAAGAAGCUCAAGCACAAAGGCCCAUUAUAAUUGUCCACGGGGCUGUAAACAUCUCAAGAUCUUCCAUUCCUGGCCAAACGGAAGGGAAUAGGUUGGCCAAUGCAAUGGACAUCUGGGUGCCCAUUAAGUCUCCUUUUCUGCUCCAUUGCCAUUCAAACGUUUGAUGGAAAUAGAUUGACAUCCUUCCUUGGUCAGGAAGUGAUAUAUAUAUCUAAGGAGGGCAGAAACCACUAUUGACUUGAGGAACAUCUUGCAUUCGCAGUUGACCCAAGAGAACAUCACUGUGGUGACCCACCAUGAAAGUCUCCUCCGGCUUGGUUGCCAUCAUGUUGCUGAUCUGGUCCAUGACUGCCAUUGACGGGACAUGUGGAGUUAUCGGUGAAGACCAAGGCAAGGAGGAGCCCUGGAGAGUCAAGCGAGGCCUGUUCGACAAAUUCAAACAUAUCUAUACGCACCACAAGGACAUCCUGGGAGAGAUCGCAGAGGUCUUUUCCGACGACCACUCCAUAUUCCAUAACUAGACCUCGCGGAGAGACCUUGAUCCGGUCAACGACCCACCACACGACCCAAAACCUGACCUGACCCCCUUAGAAGGUUAACAAAUCCAAGAUCCCCAUCCAGCCUCCUCGAGAAGACCUCCGAAGAACGAGUUUGUUCCAUUGUCUCAUACAUCCUGAAGUUCUUCCUAACGUUCAGGUGGAAUCCCAUAAUUUGAAUCCAUUUCUUCAAGUUCAGGUUUCCGACAAAGUUGUUUGUAUCUCGUGAUCCUGUAUUGUUUGAUGCUUCCCAGCUUUGUAAACCCAACAUGUUUCUGAAGUUGAGCUAGAAUUUGGAGGGUCUCGCCCAACGGGAGAGAGCCCACAGACCCACCAAAUAAGGGUGAGAAAAAGAGACCCUCUAGAUCAGGGGUCCUCAAACUUUUAAAACUGGGGGCCAGUUCACGAUCCCUCAGACCAUGGGAGGGCCAGACUAUAGUUUGCCAGGUGGCCACCGAGCAGUAAUAAUAAUAAUAAUAAUAAUAAUAAUAAUAAUAAUAAUAAUAAUAAUAUAUUUAGCCCAACUCCUUUCUGCCAUUGUGGACCAAAAGCAAAAACAAAGCACCCCUGACAGAUGGCCUCCCAGCCUCAAUGUUAAUUAUUAUUAUUAUUAUUAUUAUUGACACAACAACAUUGUAUGACACAGCAAACAAGAUAAAUAUGCUGGAUUUCGUAUCACAAAAUCACAAAUUGCACUCUUCCCAAGUGUUUAAGACCACGUGAUGAUGAUGAUGAUGAUGAUGAUAAUGAUUAUUAUUAUUAUUAUAUUUUGUUUUUGUGAAGCAUCAGAGGUGGAGGAUAUCGCACAUGUACUGUUCAGCUGUGAAUUGUAUAAGAAAGAGAGAGACCAAUGCCUCAGGCCAUACAUUAUUCACAAAACACACUGGGACCCACAUAUUAAAACUUCAUUUUUGUUGCCUGGCCAGAAUCCUAAAAUAACACACAAAACAGUCCUUUUCCUAUUCAAAGCAACACAGCUGAGAAUUGUUCUGAUACGGCCAAUGGGCUAAUCAAUAGAACGUUAUUAAUAAUAAUGAUAAUAGAGAGCUGGAAGAGACCCCUUGGGCCAUUUAGCCCAACCCCCUUCAGCCUUUGUGCCGUGGGGGCCGGAUAAAUGCUUCAAUGGGCCGAAUGUGGCCCGCGGGCCGUAGUUUGGGGCCCCCUGCUCUAGAUAAAGGAUUCCCCUUGAAUUUCCCAAAUAAAUUUCACCAGAGUUGAAGAAAAGACCAGUUGACGAUCAUUCGUCAAGUAAACAUACCACAUAAUACAUUACAGUACAUUUUAUAGCAAAAAAACAGGGUGGUCAAUUUUGAAUUUCCCGCUCCCAUCCGCCUCUGCUGGCUUCAUGCUGGUUGGUUGUUGUCAUCAGCUGUAGAAAAGGCGUGGACGCCUCGGCCAAUAAGAAAGCCAGUGCCGCUUCGGCCUCUUGGCCAAUCAGGAGCAAGGAGGCAGUCCGAGCAGGAAACAAUGGACCGGGAGUGGGAUUUGAGUGGAUUAAAAUGACUUAAUUGGUGUCCGACAGCUAGCAAUUACUCCUAAGAGUCCUCCAUCCAGCUAGGUAUUAUUUCCAGUAGUGAGAAUAUACAUCUGAGUCUGACAUGGCCGUCAGGAUCCGGAUUAUCUAAAGACUGGAUAUGGAAACAAUUAGGCGAGAUCUUGAUGACAGUUUCGGCCAGGGUGUGAAGAUAAAGGAAGAAGCAGUUUGGAAAAUUAAAUAUACAUACUCUACGGACACGAAAGAAAACUGGCUGAAGGUCACUCACAGGUGGUACCUAACUCCAAAGAAAAUAGGGCUAAUGUAUAGAAACGCUAAUAGUAAUUGCUGGAGAUGUAAAAAUCACACAGGUUCUUAUUUCCACAUGUGGUGGACUUGUAGAAAAAUAGAGAAAUUUUGGACAAUAAUUUUGGAAGAAUGUAAUAAAAUACUAAAAACAAAGUUUAAGAAAAUGCCGGAAUUACUCCUGCUGGGGCUACAUGAUCCGUUAGAAAAAUUAGAUACGAAUACAGACAAAUUAUUUACUUUCUUUAUCACUGCAGCGAGAGUGGUGAUUGCAAGAUAUUGGAAAUCCGGGACUGUACCAACAAAAGACAUAUGGAUAGAUAAAUUAUUGGAAAUAAAGGAUAUGGACAAAUUAACUUUUCUAAUGCGAAGAAGUAAUAGAAGAGCGAGGAAGGUCACAGACUGGUUGUAUUUUGAGGACUACCUGAAGAAAGCAUCAAUAUGGAACUAACAUAAGGACAAACUAAAGAAUAAGAAGAAUAAAAAUGGAAAUCAAUCCCUCCUCCCCCC